UACGUAGGGUGCGAGCGUUAAUCGGAAUUACUGGGCGUAAAGCGUGCGCAGGCGGUUCGUUAAGUCAGAUGUGAAAGCCCCGGGCUCAACCUGGGAACUGCAUUUGAAACUGGCGGGCUUGAGCAUGGCAGAGGGGGGUGGAAUUCCGCGUGUAGCAGUGGAAUGCGUAGAGAUGCGGAGGAACACCGAUGGCGAAGGCAGCCCCCUGGGCCAAUACUGACGCUCAGGCACGAAAGCGUGGGGAGCAAACAGG
rnacentral:rRNA from 1 species